rnacentral:rRNA from 1 species
UGGGGAAUCUUCCGCAAUGGACGAAAGUCUGACGGAGCAACGCCGCGUGAGUGAUGACGGCCUUCGGGUUGUAAAGCUCUGUUAAUCGGGACGAAUGGUUCUUGUGCAAAUAGUGCGAGGAUUUGACGGUACCGGAAUAGAAAGCCACGGCUAACUACGUGCCAGCAGCCGCGGUAAUACGUAGGUGGCAAGCGUUGUCCGGAAUUAUUGGGCGUAAAGCGCGCGCAGGCGGAUUGGUCAGUCUGCCUUAAAAGUUCGGGGCUUAACCCCGUGAUGGGAUGGAAACUGCCAAUCUAGAGUAUCGGAGAGGAAAGUGGAAUUCCUAGUGUAGCGGUGAAAUGCGUAGAUAUUAGGAAGAACACCAGUGGCGAAGGCGACUUUCUGGACGAAAACUGACGCUGAGGCGCGAAAGCCAGGGGAGCGAACGGG